rnacentral:rRNA from 1 species
CCAUCAUUCAGUUGGGCACUCUAAGGGGACGUGCCGGUGAUAAGCCGAGAGGAAGUGGGGAUGACGUCAAGUCCUCAUGGCCUUACGGGCUGGGCUACACACGUGCUACAAUGGUGGUGACAGUGGGCAGCGAGACCGCGAGGUCGAGCUAAUCUCCAAAAGCCAUCUCAGUUCGGAUUGCACUCUGCAACUCGAGUGCAUGAAGUUGGAAUCGCUAGUAAUCGCGGAUCAGCAUGCCGCGGUGAAUACGUUCCCGGGCCUU